UACGUAGGGUGCGAGCGUUGUCCGGAAUUACUGGGCGUAAAGAGCUCGUAGGUGGUUUGUCGCGUUGUCCGUGAAAACUCACAGCUCAACUGUGGGCGUGCGGGCGAUACGGGCAGACUGGAGUACUGCAGGGGAGACUGGAAUUCCUGGUGUAGCGGUGGAAUGCGCAGAUAUCAGGAGGAACACCGGUGGCGAAGGCGGGUCUCUGGGCAGUAACUGACGCUGAGGAGCGAAAGCUAGGGGAGCAAACAGG
rnacentral:rRNA from 1 species